CGGGAACUAGCUCAGCUCGGUAGAGCACUUGGUUUGGGACCAAGGAGUCGCCGGUUCGACCCCUGUCUUCCCGA
rnacentral:tRNA from 1 species